UACGGGGGGGGCAAGCGUUUGUUCGGAAUUACUGGGCGUAAAGGGCUCGUAGGUGGCCAACUAAGUCAGACGUGAAAUCCCUCGGCUUAACCGGGGAACUGCGUCUGAUACUGGAUGGCUUGAGUUCGGGAGAGGGAUGCGGAAUUCCAGGUGUAGCGGUGAAAUGCGUAGAUAUCAGGAGGAACACCGGUGGCGAAGGCGGAUCUCUGGGCCAUUACUGACGCUGAGGAGCGAAAGCGUGGGGAGCGAACAGG
rnacentral:rRNA from 1 species